CAUAUUGCUAAGUCAAAAAAUGCAGUUGAAGAACAGGUUGCCAUAUGACCCCAGCUAUUGGCAUGGGGGCAAGCGUAGGUGUGUAAAUGUCUGGAGGGGGACUGCGAGCAGUCAGGCCCGACCGUUGGCAGUGGUUACCCCACAUGGAGGAAUGAGACUGGGCCGGGGCCAGUGAAGGAGAACUUCGACUUUUUCUUCUAUGUCUCUUUGAUCUGUCUUUAUGGCAAAUGUAAUUCAAAAAUUAGGUGUCACUAUUGUUAUGGUUGAAGAGAGAAAACACCCCAGAGACGCUCAACGAAGAGGGCAAGAAAGUACAGAAUCCCGUACUUGAGAAGCUUGGAGGAGAGAACGAAAGUCAGGAGGGCUUCCAGGAGGAGGAGGAAGAGGAAGGCCAGCUGGAUCUCAGAGCAAGAGUGGACCCCUGGAUUUGGAGCAGAGAGAGGGCAGUCCAGGCACAAGGGAAAGGUCAGAGGCGAAGGCGUGUGCCACAGGAGAGGAAUCUUGAAGUAGGAGAAAUAGCAGGAGAAUUGGCCUUUUAUGACUGGGGCGAGUCUUAUCUUGGCCAUGCCCUGGAGCUACCUACCACCCUGGGCAAAUCACUUAUAGGUUCUGUGUCCCCAUCUAUAAAUGGGCAUAGUGGUCCGGACCUCAGUGGAUGGAUGUGAAGACUGACCUCAGUUUGGAGCAAACUGUAAAGUAGCAGAUAGAUGGGAAUUUAUUGUCAGUUUCUCCCAGGGCUCAGGGAGAAGGCAGAUUGGGUUGCAGUACCUUGGCAAGCCAUGGUCAACCCUUGACCAGCCUGAGCUGGGAAACACUCACACUCGAGGUGAUAGGAAAUACAGAGCCAGCAGGACUUCUUAAGCAUGGGAAGGAAGGCUCUGAAAUGACACCUGAGGGAGACGUGAGAACAGAAGGACCUCGCAGAUACGAGCGGAGCAGCAGUGUGUGAGUCCGGGCGUGGACAGAAGCAGGUGCUCACGCGUGCCGCCCAGAACCUGCAGUCUGGGGGCAGCGGUGCUAUACCUGGAUCCUUGCUCCUAAAUGGACUCUAAGCUACCUCCCGGCUGCUGGUGAUGGAAGAGAGCACCAGCUGCAUAAUAUUCCAACGUGGGAAUGAACUACACAGUUCCUGAUGAUGAACACCAGGGUUAUUUCCAAUCUGUUGCAACCAAUAGGCUGUCUCCAUCACUCGCUCACUCCCUGUGAACUCCUCGCCCUGUGCAUCAGUCAAGGUUCAGUUAGAGAAGCCGAACCACUAAGGAGGUUCUAACCAGAACCGUGUCGGAAAGAGCAUUCUGGGAAAUGUAGUCCAGCUGAGCCGAGAUGACUCAUCGCAAAGCCCGUCACACCAUGCCGCUUCUCUGCGCUGAGAAUCGAGUUCCUCAUCCGUGAGAUGGGAUAGUAACUCAUGGAAUGAAAUGAGAUGAUGCACCUGAAGCGCUUGACACGUCGUCUGGGUUCAAGAAAUGGUUCUUACUGCCCGGGAUCCCACCGCUAAUAAUGGCAAGAGGCGUGAGCUAUCCCCAAAGCCUGUUGCUCUCCGCCCUUCACCGUGCUGCCUCCCUGUGCCGGGCCUGGAAGUAUGGAAACGAGGAGGACAGUUCCUCUCCCUGGACAGAGGGGUAGGCCAGGGGCACGAGUAAGUGUAAUAGGGGACAGGAAAAGGAAAGCGGUCACCGUGAAUGGGACCGCCCACAAGACUGGCAGUGAGCUGGAUCCUCUACAGGGAGAAGCGGAGGAAGGGACCAGGAUUUUCUGCAUGCCUACUGUGUGCCAGGCACUGUGGGAGGCACUUUACGUGACCAUCACAGUGAGUCAUCACAACCAAAAAACGAGCUAGGUAGUAUUAUAAUCCCUGCAAUACAGACAAGGGAACUGAGACUCAGAGAGAGUGAGUCCCUCGCCCUCGGUCACUGAGUGACCACCUGCCAGAGCCCCCGCGUCCCCGGAGACGGCUAGAGUGGCGGUGGAAGCGGCAACGUGGGGUCAUCCCGGAGGCGGUGGCUCUCCGGAGCUGGCAGCCCGGGCUGGCUCCGCGCCCCGCCAGGCCGGCCUCUGUGCCCGUGUCUGCCCGUGGGCGGCAGGCGCUCUGGUGGCUGCAGUGCCGUGGUGGUGGCAGCGGCGGGCGGCAGCAGGGAGACAGUCACACCUCGCUGUUUUGUAAACUGUUUCUCACAGCUUGUUUGUUCCGGGUUAGGGCUGGAGCGGCACCGUAUGGAAGUGUGACUCAUUGUUUAAUGUGGCAGCUCAUUAGCAGAUCUUGUUGCUGCCUCUGAUUUCUCUGCUCCCGCUAAUUGGAGAGCCCAGUGGGGCCCCGGCUUCCCAUGAAGAACAAGCCAGUCCCCAGGGCUCCAGCCGGCCCUUGCCCCUCCGGCUCCCGAGGAGGCCACCCCACGCGGUGGGCACUGGUAUCAGCCAGCCUGCGUUCAAAUCCCAGCGCAUCCCGGCUGUGUAACCUUGGGCAAAGAGCCUGGUCCGCCCCUCUCUGAGCCUCAGUUUCCCUACCUGGCCGGUGGAGGAAGUAGUGACCACCUCAUCAGAGUGGGUGGGAGGAAGAGUAACAAUAAAGUCUCCUGGUGCAUA